CAUCCUCGCGGACAGCGCGGCUGUGCGGGCGGAGAGCUGUCGAUCCCAGUGAUUAAUGCCAAAUCCCUGUUGCCAGUGGAGAGGGUGAUGUUUGACUUUCUUAAACAGCUGCAGUUUGUGUGGUGAAGGUGCUCCCACAAUGUGGUUGGAUCCCAGUGAUUAAUGCCAAAGCCCCAUUGCCUGGGGAGAGGGUGAUGUUUGACUUCCUGUACAGCUGCAGUUUGUGUGGUGAAGGUGCUCCCACAAUGUGG